AUGUUGAGGAGAGGUAGUAUUGCCAUAUGUUUAUCAAAUUCCACCAUGUUGGUUGGCUGGUGCCGGCCACGGAGGCGGCUGAGAAGGCGGAGAGGGAGCACGAUUUGGCUAGGAAAUAAGCGCCGCGGGUUCGGCCUAGGGUCACGGCCGGCGCUACAAUGGGGGGCCAUGGUCAGCCCUAUAAGGAUGCUGAAGAAGAUGUUCAUGGAGAUGGUACCUAAUGAAAGGUGGAUAGAAGCUUACAAUUGGUCUCUGCCAUUUUUACGUCCUCAAAUAUUUCCUCUUUGUUAG
rnacentral:lncRNA from 1 species